ensembl:ncRNA asRNA:CR45827 antisense RNA:CR45827
GUAGAUUCAAAUUUUUAAAUAACAAAUCAGAAAAUGUGGACAAUCAGAAAAUUUACUGGGGUAAAUGAUUAAAGAUGCCUGAAAAGUUCGCUCUGUGGAGGUGCCACUGUAACUCUUUUGUGCGUGCGAUUACGUGAAGAGAUCAGCACGAAGAGGACGUGGAGUGGGCAGAAGAGGCCACGAUGAUUGCUUAUUUGCCCAGAGGCAGCAGUCGGCCGGUGAUGUUGAUAAUUCGCUGCAGAGUGGAGUGGAAACUUUGGUUGUUGUUGCGGAAAACUAUUGAGAUUGCUAUUUAUAGCGCAUCGGAUCGGAUCGGUGGCAUUGCAUCUGGAUGGAUGGCUGGCUUGCGGUGGGUUGCCAAGCCGGUAAGACAGUGAUAGUUAUCGGGGCUGGGAUCGGUGGCUCAGGGGCUUCAGUGGUGCGGUGGUUGCAGUGAUGCUCCAUUCGGGUAAACAGCUGGCAAUGGAGCGUGUCUGUAACGGCCAGUGGCAGCGAGAUAAGCUCGAAACUAUGGAAAUCAGGAGGAGGAGACCAUCUUCAUUUCCACCUUAUCACGUCGAGAAUUUCACAUAUACAUAUAUAUGCAGCACAUUCAGCAUUUGAACCACAACCACUUACACAUAUUUAUCAACUGCGCAGCACCGAAAUUAUUCAUCACUCGAGUUUAUAUAGUAUUUGAUUUGCUGCUAGACUAGAGUGUGUAAAAUACAUCAUUUAUUGGUCAUGGCUCACCGCAGACAGCUGCAAAUGUUUUGCUACCUUAGCACCACAUUCUGAAGGCUGGUUUGCUGAACUCAUCUGCUGCUGGGAAUCCUGGACAAGGACUACUUCGUGCAGAUCCACGCCAGCCAACCAAACUAAGGUGUAUGUAAGGUAGUCAACUGGCUGUGACGUCAGCAGGUGGUUUUUGUCCGGAAUUGUUUAAGAAAUGGCGUUUGUUUUUACGGCUGCAAAUCCAACGACUUUGUUUUUGUUGACUGCGCUUCGUUCUGUGUUUGGCCUUCUGAGCGUCUGGCUUUGCCUUUGUUGUUGUUAUGUUGUUGUUAGUCAGCACAGCUGAUGGCAAAACGCGUUCGCUGCUCGGUCCUACUAUAAAUCGAUUUCAAAUUACUUAAAAAUAAAUGUUAUAUACAAAUAAACUUU